rnacentral:tRNA from 1 species
GGCCCUGACCAGCCGCAUUGUCUGAGACUCAAACGGCCUCCGGAGCCGUGUGCGCAGGUUCGAAUCCUGCCGGGGGCA